AUAACGACUCUCGGCAACGGAUAUCUCGGCUCUCGCAUCGAUGAAGAACGUAGCGAACUGCGAUACUUGGUGUGAAUUGCAGAAUCCCGUGAACCAUCGAGUCUUUGAACGCAAGUUGCGCCAGAAGCCUUCGGGUAGAGGGCACGUUUGCCUGGGUGUCACA
rnacentral:rRNA from 1 species